AAGAAGCCUAGUAGCUUCUACUUAUAGUCAACACCUCAACAGUAGUGUACACUAUUCACAUCAGGCAGCUCGAAAUCUGAUAUCUUUCGCCGGAGCUCCCUGAAUAUCCGUUUGAGCUCAAAUCUGACAGUCAUAUUCGGUUUUACUUAAAGAGUCCAAACAAAUUUUAAUAUUUCAGUUUCGACCCCGUUUGGUCACCGAAAACUGUGCCGAACUGUAAUCUUUAUCAGAUGGCUUUCGGAUUUUAUUUCUCACUCUAUGGGUGUCAGAAAAAUAUGAAACUUUAAAUCUAGCCUCAUUAAAAUAUUUCUGACAUCCCCGCCAAUUUUCAUAAUUUUCUGAGACAGUGCCUUUUCUGCUAAUUUUUCUGUCCCGUUUCCAACAGAAAAUUCUAGAUCUUCUGUUUUCAUCCCGAUUUCAGCACAAGUCACUUCUGACUUAUGUUUUACUUCUCUAAAUCCAAUAAAAAUAGUAUCUCAUACUAUUUUUAUUUAUUCCCAUUUUUAUAUUUAAAAUCCGGUAUAUUACAUUCCACCGCAACCUCACCGGAACCAUUCAAAUGUACACCGUAACUUCAUUGUUUUAGAAGUCCGGUACCUUACACAAUCUCUUAAAUA
rnacentral:lncRNA from 1 species